ensembl:lncRNA CAPS2-AS1 CAPS2 antisense RNA 1
CCAAAGGACAAACAAUAGCCUGUGGACAAGUUAUGAGAGGUGAAGACCCGCCUGUGUAACAGCGAGACCAUGUCUCAAUUGAAAAAGAAAAACAACAACAACAACAAACAGAGGGAAUCCUUGUGACACACCACAUGCCGGGAAUUUCCCAAAGUGGGAAAAUCACAAGGAAGAUAGGCUAUCCAUCAAAAAAAUGACAGCUCCAGAGGCCCAUACCCCUUCACAUGGAGGAAACUGUCCAUCCUCGGAGGAUAAACCUACUUUGGGUAAUAUUGAGAUAGCCACUCACCCAAUGACACAGCUUUGAAGAACUUUUCAAAGUACGAAGAUACAACUUCAUCUGGAGACAACCCAUGUUGUGGAAUGGGAAGGGGGGUGUUACAGAAAAUAAAUGAUAUGCUUGGAUUCAGACUUGAGAUUUG